GCCGCCCAGGCAGCCCGCAGGAAGGAGCGCGUCCUCUGCCUGUUUGACGUGGACGGGACCCUCACGCCGGCUCGCCAGCUAGGUCAAGUGAUCUUUCUGCCUUGGCCUUGCAAAGUGUUGGGAUUACAGACCUGAGCCACGGUGCCCAACCUGUCUAAUUUUUGGUGUCUAAGCUUUGUACUGCUUCAGAUCCAGAAAAUUGACCCUGAGGUGGCCACCUUCCUGCAGAAGCUGCGAAGUAGAGUGCAGAUCGGUGUGGUGGGCGGCUCUGACUACUGUAAGAUCGCUGAGCAGCUGGGUGACGGGGAUGAAGUCAUUGAGAAGUUUGAUUAUGUGUUUGCCGAGAACGGGACGGUGCAGUAUAAGCAUGGACGACUGCUCUCCAAGCAGACCAUCCAGAACCACCUGGGGGAGGAGCUGCUGCAGGACUUGAUCAACUUCUGCCUCAGCUACAUGGCCCUGCUCAGGCUGCCCAAGAAGCGUGGAACCUUCAUCGAGUUCCGGAAUGGCAUGCUGAACAUCUCGCCCAUUGGCCGGAGCUGCACCCUGGAGGAGAGG
rnacentral:sRNA from 1 species